UGCAGUCGAGCGGUAUAGCAGGUGAUCCUGCAUGCCUAAUACUGCGCGAAGGGGGGAGAAAUAUGCCUAAGCAUCCCCCAGGGUGGGGGGGACAACGUCUCAAAAGGAGCUAUAACCCCGCACAAUCCCUAGAGGAAAAAGGGGGAGACCUUCAGGCCUUGCGCACUGAGAUGACCAUGGGUCAGAUUGUCUUUGGGG
rnacentral:rRNA from 1 species